rnacentral:rRNA from 1 species
AACGUACGCUGGCGGCACGCCUAACACAUGCAAGUCGAGCGAGACCUUCGGGUUUAGCGGCGGACGGGUGAGUAACGCGUGGGAACGUGCCCUUCUCUGCGGAAUAGCCACUGGAAACGGUGAGUAAUACCGCAUACGCCCUUCGGGGGAAAGAUUUAUCGGAGAAGGAUCGGCCCGCGUUAGAUUAGGUAGUUGGUGGGGUAACGGCCUACCAAGCCUACGAUCUAUAGCUGGUUUUAGAGGAUGAUCAGCAACACUGGGACUGAGACACGGCCCAGACUCCUACGGGAGGCAGCAGUGGGGAAUCUUAGACAAUGGGGGCAACCCUGAUCUAGCCAUGCCGCGUGAGUGAAGAAGGCCUUUGGGUUGUAAAGCUCUUUCGUCGGGGAAGAAAAUGACUGUACCCGAAUAAGAAGGUCCGGCUAACUUCGUG